rnacentral:rRNA from 1 species
GGAUGCGAUGUGGGGACGGAGAAGGUUAGGUACGCCGGGUGUUGGAUGUCCCGGUUGAAGCGUGUAGGCGUGCCCCUUAGGCAAAUCCGGGGGGCUUAGCUGAGGCGUGAUAACGAGUGGGGUUUUCCCCGCGAAGGUACUGAUACCCUGCUUCCAAGAAAAGCCACUAAGCUUCAGUCCAGAGACGACCGUACCGCAAACCGACACUGGUGGGCGAGAUGAAAAUUCUCAGGCGCUUGAGAGAACUCGGUUGAAGGAACUCGGCAAAUUGACACCGUAACUUCGGAAGAAGGUGUGCCUCUAGUAGGUGAAGGUCCUCGCGACUGGAGCCCAAUGAGGUUGCAGAUAAUCGGUGGCUGCGACUGUUUAAUAAAAACACAGCACUCUGCAAACACGAAAGUGGACGUAUAGGGUGUGACGCCUGCCCGGUGCCGGAAGGUUAAUUGAUGGGGUGCAAGCUCUUGAUCGAAGCCCCGGUAAACGGCGGCCGUAACAAUAACGGUCCUAAGGUAGCGAAAUUCCUUGUCGGGUAAGUUCCGACCUGCACGAAUGGCGUAACGAUGGCCACACCGUCUCCAACCGAGACUCAGCGAAGUUGAAAUGUUUGUGAUGAUGCAAUCUACCCGCGGCUAGACGGAAAGACCCCGUGCACCUUUACUGUAACUUUGCAUGGGACUGUGAACCGAUCUGUGUAGGAUAGCUGGGAGGCUUUGAAGCAGGGGCGCUAGCUCUUGUGGAGCCAACGUUGAAAUACCAGCCUGGUUUGUUUGCGGUUCUAACCUACGCUCGUGAAUCCGGGCGGGGGACAGUGCAUGGUAGGCAGUUUGACUGGGGCGGUCUCCUCCUAAAGAGUAACGGAGGAGCUCGAUGGUACGCUAGGCACGGUCGGAAAUCGUGCUGAUAGUGCAAUGGCAAAAGCGUGCUUAACUGCGAGACUGACAAGUCGAGCAGGUGCGAAAGCAGGACAUAGUGAUCCGGUGGUUCUGUAUGGAAGGGCCAUCGCUCAACGGAUAAAAGGUACGCCGGGGAUAACAGGCUGAUUCCUCCCAAGAGUUCAUAUCGACGGGGGAGUUUGGCACCUCGAUGUCGGCUCAUCACAUCCUGGGGCUGUAGCCGGUCCCAAGGGUAUGGCUGUUCGCCAUUUAAAGUGGUACGUGAGCUGGGUUUAAAACGUCGUGAGACAGUUUGGUCCCUAUCUGCCGUGGGCGUUGGAAGUUUGACGGGGGCUGCUCCUAGUACGAGAGGACCGGAGUGGACGCACCUCUGGUGUACCGGUUGUCACGCCAGUGGCAUCGCCGGGUAGCUAUGUGCGGAAGAGAUAACCGCUGAAAGCAUCUAAGCGGGAAACUUGCCUGAAGAUGAGACUUCCCGGGGGUUAAACCCCCCUAAAGGGUCGCGGAAGACCACCGCGUUGAUAGGUCAGAUGUGGAAGCGCAGUAAUGCGUUGAGCUAACCGAUACUAAUUGCCCGUGAGGCUUGACCCG